CUUAAUCUCUUUGGUUCUCUGCCCAUGUUCUAUCCAACUGUCAGGCCUCCUUGCCCCAUUACCACAAGUUGGACAUCCUGAUACCUGCUGCUCUCCUGGACUACCACCUGUUGUUUGCUCACGGCUCUCUGGCUAUCAGAGCCUCCUUAGCCUACCGUUCACCGAAAAGUCACAAGUACGGAAGGAGACUCUGCAGGGGUCUCUGUA